AAGGGAAAAAGGGAGAGAAGGGAGAAAGGAGAGAGAGAGAGAGUAAAUGGGGGGGUAAAUGAGAAAAGACAAAAUGACAAGGAGCCAGGGCAGAGCCAGGGAGUAGGAGACAGAAGAGAGGCAGAGACAGAGUGAGAGCAGAGAGACACAGAGCAAGAGAGAAGCAGAACCUCAGGAGAAAGUUGUAAUAGAGAUGGAGCUGGAGAGGAAGGCUGGGCCGGUGAGUGGGGAAAGAUGGCAAGGCUCUUGAGUUGUUUGGGGGCCAUAGGACUCUGGUCCCAUUCACACUCCAUUCCAACUUUGGCCUUAGAGCUUAGGAUGAGAGAAACCUGCCCCAAAGGAGGCCUGAGGCUCCCUGCUGGCUUCUGGACCCCAUGGGCAUCCAAACUGUGAGGCCUGCCACAGCAGUAAAACAAACCUUGAAAGUCACCCUGGAGCAGCCAGAGUCACCCCUGAAAAGAAGAAGCCUGGGGAAGGGCACCCAAAAGCCUCCCAGGGCAGCCUUAAGCUCCUGGGUCUCUCUCCUGUUAGAACCCACCAAGGCCCAGCCUGAGGUUGUGGCGCCAUCUUGUGGUAGUAUGGUGCAUAGCCGGUUUCCUUUCUGGAUGGAGCUUUCAAGGGUCAGGAAGGGUCCUGAGGGCCAGUGGAGUGAAGAGGAAGAGGGGAGCUAGGGAAUGUUCACCUUGCCUGACCACACAAACACAAACAUCCUUGUUGUACCUGGGCCCAGGUAGGCUUGGGGGGGAGAAUAGGGAAGGAAGUUGGGGAUUUGACUAGGAGAAAUUGGGGGUCAGUGAACUAGCAUGACCUGGAAACUGCAGAUCCUUCCUUAAUCAUUACGAUGAAGCUAAUUACAUCAAAGAGCACUUUAAGACUUUCCUAGGAUGAGGUGCUAUUACUUUUAGAAGUUUCUUCCCACGGCUUCUCAAACAUUAAAAUGCAUAGCAUAUCUAUAUUAAAUAUAACUCAGUUUUAUAAAAUAAUACAAAGUGAUUUUGUAAGUUUUCCUUGGGAAUUAUUUGACCAAGUGUAAUUCACUUACAGUACAAUUAUCCAUCAUUUCUCAGCCCUCCAUGACCACUUGUUUGCACUCUUUUUUUAAAUAUUUAUUUCUUAGUUUUAGAUGGAUGCCAUAUCUUCAUUUUACAUUUAUGUGGUGCUGAGGAUCAAGCCCAGUGCCUUGUACAUACUAGGCGAGCACUCUACCACUGAGCCACAACCCCAGCCCUGCAUUCUUUAAAAAAAAAUAUAUAUAUAUAUAUAUAUAUAUAUGUGUGUGUGUGUGUGUGUGUGUGUGUGUGUUUGUGUGUAUGUUGUUGAUGGACCUUCAUUUUAUUUAUAUGUGAUGCUUAGGAUUGAACCCAGUGCCUCAUGUGCCAGGCAAGUGCUCUACCACUGAGUCACAACCACAGCGCCCCCUUAUUGGCAUUCUUGAUGUGCUGACAAGAGUUAAAAACUACCUAAUCUACAAAUUCUUUUCAAGUAUGAUGAAAUUGUUAUGAAUACUACACUUAAUAAUUAAAGAAGGUGACAUAGAAUUAAUGACAUACCUAGCAAUAGAUAAUUUAUGGACGUUUUAUACUUUAUAUAAAUUCAAUUAAACUUUUAUUAAUUUUAAUUAUCCUAUAGUUUUUAAACUUUGGAGCCAAGGUUUUUCAGGUUUUUAACAUUUAGGCCUCUGAAAAGCUCAAGCCUCUUGGGGAGUUACUGCUUCCAAAAAAUAAGUGAUCCUAAUGGCACAGCCCAGAGAGCUAUAAAGAUUAAAAGUGGGAUACUAGAUAAAAAGCACUUAGCACAUUGCUUGGCAUAUUCUAAGCAUCCAAUUAAAAUAUAGUGAUGUUAUUAAACAUAUUUUAGCACAUAUACUCAUAUAUUCAUUCAUUUGUUUGUUUAAAAAAUUUAUUGGGCCAGGUAUGGUGGUGCACACCUGUAAUCCCAGCAGCUCAGGAGCCUGAGGCAGGAGGAUGGUGAGUUCAAAGCCAGCCUAAGCAAAAGCAAGGCGCUAAGCAACUCAGUGAGACCCUUUCUCUAAAUAAAACACAAAAAAGGGCUGGAGAUGUGGCUCAGUGGUCAAGUGCCCUGAGUUUAAUCCCUGGUAUACACCACCCAAACCCUUCAUCUACAGUAAAUAGUCCACCCAAAAAAAUUAUUGGGCUGGGGCUGUAACUCAGUAGCAGAGCACUUGCCUAGCAUGUGCAAAGCCCUGGGUUCAAUCCCCAGCGCUGAAAAACAAAACAAAACAAAAAAAGAAGGGUUGGGGGUUAGGAACUCAUUCUGUGCCAGACAAGGCAAUGAUCUAGGUGGUAGUUCUAUAGCAGUGAACAUACUCAAUCUAAACAACUAUUCUGGGGACUUUACAUUCUAGUUGGGAGAACUAGACAUAAACAAUAAACAUUAAAAAUAAGAAAGCUCACACAGUAUGUUAGGAGGCCAUAAGAGCCUUGGGA
rnacentral:lncRNA from 1 species